GAGGAAUAUGGAGGAAUUAUUGCCAAUCCAGCCAAAGAAGUACUCAAGAGUAACAGAAAAAUACAACUAAAACGGUUUCUGCUAGCCUUUAUUUGAGAAAACUUACACAAAAAUCCCCAAUCCAACACUUAGAAGUGAAUCCGUAUAAAUCCAUGUGCCUCUUUCCACUACACAAACAGAAAAAUGGCUUAUGACAGGGGUUUCUGACAAUGGUAUAACAAAGCUUACUUAAACUGUAUCAUUCUCACCUAUGUUACACAGACCGUGUUGAAUAACAGGCUCAAAAACGAAGGAAAGCAGGUAACAUCCUUGUUUUUAAAGCUGAUUUGCUCUUGCACUAACUAGCCUUUUACCAAAUGCAAAUCAUUUUACUUUUUAGAUAAAAUCAAGGUGUAAUAUCAAUGAACUUUAAACCAAAAGCACAAAUGUCCGAGUUGGUAGUUUUGGCAUGAGUAAAAGGAAAGGACAUGAAAAAGAAUUUCAGUUUCACAAAGUCACAUUUGGGAAGAAAAACAUCAGCAAAAUAAAAUAUUCUCCUGUCCUACCUUCUUGACAUUUUGUCAGAACAAAAGACUAUAACCAACUGAGUAGCUUUCAUUGCUUCUAGAAAGUGGAAAGGCACCAUUCAGAAAUAUGAAAGUGUAUCUUGUUAGGAUAAUGGUACAAAAUAGAAUUUCACCUUUAAAAGUUUAAGGAUGGACCUUAACCCACAAAUUUGGUUAUUCUCUUCCCUACCUGGGUACAUCCUCUGUCGGUCAGAAUACGUAGUACCACAGAUAGGCUUGCUCAACAUCUGCUGCCCUCAGGGCGAGGAUUCAGCUGCUUGGUUCUCAGAACAGUACCUACCAGUUCUUAACAGCAGAUGGCAAUGUUGCAUAAAUUAAUGAAAGAACCACUCUUAAUGCCACACCAGAGGAAUUAUACAGGGAGUCAAAAGAAGGGGGAAAAAAAGGCUUCUGGGUUCCCAGUAGCUGGAACAUUAACAGAACAGCCUGAGAUUAUAACAACAUAACUCACUCCCUCUUCCACCUGUGUACCUUAUCCAGGUCAUCACAGCAGUGUUCUCUGUUAACUCCAGUAUGCUGCCCAACUGCAAGCUGCAUGGCCUUAAAUCCUGUAAUUCUUGCCAGUGCGAUUAGCCAAGCCCUGUAACAGUCAGCAAGGCUAAAAAAGAGAUUACAGAAAGGACAAACUGCUACCCACUUUCCUGGGAGAAGUGGGGAAAAUUUCAAGUGAUAGUAUUUUUCAAACUGUUUACAAACAUGGUCAUUUGUAUCUACACUUUCUCUUAUUUACAUUAGUAUUGGCCUUUAGGCACCUCAUAUUCCCAUAGCGAUUCUUGGCUUUGCUUUGACAACAUGUAUUUUCAAGUAUUUACUCUAUUCAUGAUCUUCCCAGAUGUGUUCUUUUUUAUACCUCGUAUGUCUUAAUUUUCUAGAUGGAACACGUAAGGACAGGAAUUAAGUCAAUGACCAGCCCUGUAAGAAGACCUGGUAAAUUUUACUUAUUUUUUUCUUGAUAGAAGUUAUGUUACAAAUUCAAGCAACCACAUAUCUGACAAAGGACUUGUACUUAGGAUAUAUCAAGAACUCUCAAAACUCAAUAGUAAAAAGAACAGACAAUCUAAUUAGAAAAUGGGCAAAGGGCAUGAACAGAUAUUUCACCGAGGACGAUACACAGAUGGCAAAUAAGCACAUGAAAAGAUGUUCAACAUCAGUAGCCAUUAGGAAAAUGCAAAUUAAAACCAUAAUGAGGUACCAUUAUGCUCGCCUAUCAGAAUGACUAAAAUAAAAAAUAAUAAUAAUAGCAAAUACUGGUGAGGAUGCAGAGAAACUGGAUCGGCCAUACAUUUCUGGUGGGAACGUAAAAUGGCAGUCACUGGAAAAAGAGUAGGAUGAUUUCUUACAAAAAUAAACAUGUGCUUACCAUACAACCCAGCAAUUUCCCUAUUGGGCACUUAUCGCAGAGAAAUGAAAAUUUAUGUUCACAUAAAAACCUGUACAUGAAUGUUAACAACAGCUUUAUUAGUAACGGCCAAAAACUGAAAACAACCCCAAUGUCCUUCAAUGGGUGAAUGGUUAAACAAACUGGUACAACCAGACCAUGAAAUACUACUGAGCAAGAAAAAGGAACCAACUGUUGAUACACCCAACAAUUUGGAUGGAUUUCAAGUGAAUUAUGCUGAGUGAAAAAAGUCAAUCUCAAAAGUUACAUACUAUAUGAUUCCAUUUAUAUAACAUUCUUGAAAUGACAAAAUUGGAGAAAUGGAGAACAGAUUAGUGGUUGCCAGAAGUUGGGGCUUGAGGGUAAAGAAGGGAGGUGGCUGUGGCAGUGGCUGGAAAA